GGGAGUGUAGCUCAGUGGUAGAGCAGUUGCCACGCAUACAUGAGGCCUUAGGUUCCAUCCCAGCACUACCA
rnacentral:tRNA from 1 species